rnacentral:rRNA from 1 species
UACGUAGGCAGCAAGCGUUGUCCGGAUUUAUUGGGCGUAAAGAGCGUGUAGGCGGCCAUACAGGUCAGCUGUGAAAACUCGAGGCUCAACCUCGAGACGUCGGUUGAAACCGUAUGGCUAGAGUCCGGAAGAGGAGAGUGGGAUUCCCGGUGUAGCGGUGAAAUGCGCAGAUAUCGGGAAGAACACCCGUGGCGAAGGCGGCUCUCUGGGACGGUACUGACGCUGAGACGCGAAAGCGUGGGGAGCGAACAGG